CCUACGGGUGGCAGCAGUGAGGAAUAUUGGUCAAUGGGCGCGAGCCUGAACCAGCCAAGUAGCGUGAAGGAUGACUGCCCUACGGGUUGUAAACUUCUUUUAUAAAGGAAUAAAGUGAGGCACGUGUGCCGUUUUGUAUGUACUUUAUGAAUAAGGAUCGGCUAACUCCGUGCCAGCAGCCGCGGUAAUACGGAGGAUCCGAGCGUUAUCCGGAUUUAUUGGGUUUAAAGGGAUCGUAGCUGGGUUGUUAAGUCAGUUGUGAAAAUUUGGGGCUCAACCGUAAAAUUGCAAUUGAUACUGGCAGUCUUGAGUGAAGUUGAGGUAUGCGGAAUGCGUGGUGUAGCGGUGAAAUGCUUAGAUAUCACGCAGAACUCCGAUUGCGAAGGCAGCUUAC
rnacentral:rRNA from 1 species